ACUACUUGUAGCAAUUAAAAUCGCAAUAACAUAAUUAGGUUAUAGGGAUACAUAUUAGAAAUACUUUUGUGUAAGUGUCUCAUUUAUGCCAAAAUUUUUUAAAAAAUUUACUAAGACCUAAAUAAAAAGUCUAAUCCAAUAAAAAAUAAAAGGUUACUCUACUCAACCCAACCCACCGAGUCCAUUCGACCCGAUUACAAACAGAAAAGAAAAAAAAAAGAAAAAUCGAUUACCAUCUUUCCUUCUCCCUUCACUCAAUCCACUGAAACACUAGACGAAGAGCCCUUCGCUCUUCUCCUCUUCCGCCGCCGCAGCCAACGAGAUAGAGUCCCGGCAGUUACUAAAUGCUUAAAUAAGUGUUAGUAAAUUAGUAGCACUCUUUCUUAGGUUAUACCGACACUAUUAAACCGUUACUAUAUGCCUAGCAACUCCACAUAUAGCAACAUAUUUUAAAAGUGUCCGUAAUUUAGUCAGCAACACUUUUUUUGACCUGUACCGACAUUUAAAAAUGUCGGUAUACACCGUUUUUGUUGCAGUGAAUUUGCUAUUGUUAAUGCCUA
rnacentral:lncRNA from 1 species